rnacentral:rRNA from 1 species
AUUGAACGCUGGCGGAAUGCUUUACACAUGCAAGUCGAGCGGCAGCACGGGGGCAACCCUGGUGGCGAGCGGCGAACGGGUGAGUAAUACAUCGGAACAUGCCCAGUCGUGGGGGAUAACACUUCGAAAGAAGUGCUAAUACCGCAUACGUCCUGAGGGAGAAAGCGGGGGAUCGCAAGACCUCGCGCGAUUGGAGUGGCCGAUGUCAGAUUAGCUAGUUGGUGGGGUAAAGGCCUACCAAGGCAACGAUCUGUAGCUGGUCUGAGAGGAUGAUCAGCCACACUGGGACUGAGACACGGCCCAGACUCCUACGGGAGGCAGCAGUGGGGAAUUUUGGACAAUGGGGGCAACCCUGAUCCAGCCAUUCCGCGUGUGUGAAGAAGGCCUUCGGGUUGUAAAGCUCUUUCGGCAGGAACGAAACGGUGAGCUCUAACAUAGCUCGCUAAUGACGGUACCUGAAGAAGAAGCACCGGCUAACUACGUG